CACAUUUCGCAUUUUUUUUUUAUCAAUGAGGUCAAUGCAAAAACAUAAAGAAAAAGAAACAAGCUGUGCUCAGCGUCAGAAAUUGCGUCCUUCAGUUUCGGCUUGAUAUAAGCAGCAGCAUUUUCAGAUCUUUUCAGUAAAAUUCAGUAGCUUGAUUGAAAUCGGAGUUAUCCUAAAGAAAGAUGCAUUCUUGGUGGAUUUUGGUUCUCGUCGUCCUCGCAUGCGCCAGCAUGGUCCUUGCUGCCGAUUCUGAUUCCAGUGAAGCUGUUUGUCUGAUGGUACCGAAAGCCACCAUGGAUCUGGUGAACACUGCUAUGACAAUGGUGAAUAAGAUAAGGGGUCACUCUUAAAAUGUAUUUCAAAUCGCAGCAUCUUUGUUUUGUUAUCACUGUAAUCUCCACAGUCAAGCAAUCUAUGAAAUCUUCUAUGAAAUAAAACACUUUCUUGUGCAAAAUAA